CAAUUAGCACUCUGUCAAAACGGACCAAUCAGCGCUUUGUAAAAUGGACCAAUCAGCUCUCUGUAAAACGGGCCAAUCGGUAGGAUGUGGGUGGGGGCCAGAUAAGGGAAUAAAAGCAGGCCACCAUAGCUAGCCCGGGCUACCUGCUUGGGCCCCCAUCCAGGCUGUGGAAGCUUUGUUCUUUUUCUUUUUGCAAUACAUCUUACUGCUGCUCACUCUUUGGGUUUGCAUAGCCUUAAUGAACUGUAACACUAACCAUGAAGGUCUGCAGUUUCACUCCUGAGGCCAGCGAGACCAUGAAUCCACCGGAAGGAAGGAACAACUCCAGACGCGCCACCUUUAAGAGCUGUAACACUCACUGCAGAGGUCUGCAGCUUCACUGCUGAAGUCAGUGAGACCACAAACCAAACUCCUGACACACCGUCUUUAAGAACCGUAACACUCACUGCGGGGGUCUGUGGCUUCGUUCUUGAAGUCAGCGAGACCAAGAACCCACCAAUUCUGGACACAAUAGUUGUUUGAAAAUAUUUCGGUUUCUAUUUCCUGAAGGCGGAUAUGUUGAUUCUCAAGUAAAUUCUAUACCUUUGCGUGUCUCAAAGGAAUCUCCUUGAAGACCAUUGUUUUUGAAAUGACUUGAAGAUGGCUCACAGCAGAAACCAGUUUGGCACUUGUCUGUUGGAUGAGAGUGAUCAGUUCCACUGGUUAUCUACAAGCUGACAGUGAGGCAUGAGGAACUCUGCAAAGGGAAGUAAAGAUGAUGGAAUGGAUGCUGGGCAGACAAGACCAACUGUGACUACUGGUACCCAAGUACCAGAUCAGAACUGGGGUUUUCUUACCUACCUGCGAUGAUCGAAUACUGAAUUUCAUUUUCCAUUCUCCCUGAUAACUUUUAAGUUAUAACAUUCCUUCCCCUUGCCCCUUGGUUCACCACCUCCUCCAUGCAGCUCCAAACAGUGCAGCUUCCCAGCUUCCCUUAAUCCCCUGAUAGAAGCCGAGAGACAGUUCUUUUUAAACAUUUCUAAAAGCUGCAACAUGCUCAUGUCUGAAUUCCCUGCAAAACAAAUUCAGAAGGCUGAAAUCAUUGUUCUCAGCAAAUUGGGUGAAAAUGGAGCAAAGGCAGAAGCUUUCAAACAAAGCCUCAGGAAAAAUGAGAAGAGACUGUAGAAUACUGAGUAUGUAAGUAGAACUCUGUAUUUCACACACUUCUCCCAGUAUCCAACCCUGAAGCUUGUGUGUUUCUUUUUUGUUUUUGUUUUUGUUUUUUUUUUCAUAGUUGUAGUUGCCAAAGCAAAGCAAUCACUCCAUUAAUUAUAAAGUAAGGGAAAAAAUGGGUAUCGAUCUUAACUAGUUCCCUUUUACUUGUUGAGUAUUAAUUGAAAGUUAUUCUUCUGAAGACACUUAAUUCUUUGGAGGCACUGUAGAAAAUAAUGUUUAAAUAUUCAUUCAGAGUUAAGUGAACUCAGUCAAGCUUUUAUAAACAGGAUAUUUUAAAAUUGGAACUGGAUUUUAUGUAAGUGACAAAAUGAUUUCUGAGUUCUCUUUAGUUCUCAUGGUACAAGAACUCACUUGCUGAUGUGCAUGUCUAGGGUGGUCAGAGUAUUUGUCCAAUUGGUGCGAAGACAAUGUGCUGCUCCCUUACCCAGAAAUGCCCCUUGUAAAAGCAACAUCCAUUCAUUCAUUUAUUGAUUGAUUCAGUCACUCCUGGGCACUGGGAUCUUGACUGUAAUACUGUUGGACACCAAUUGAGAUCUAAAAAUUAUCUGGGUAUAAGAAUAAUUUUUGGCUAAUGCUCAUAUAAUGCUGACUAUAUACAAUAUAUUGUUUGGAAUGCUUUAUGCACAUUAACUCAUUUAAUACUCAACAGAUUAUUAGAGGGAUACAAUCAUCAUCAUCUCCACUUUACAGUAGAGGAAACUGAGGUAUAGACAAGAGAAAUAACUUGCCCAGGUCACUCAUCUGGUGAGCAGCACAAGAUUUGGACCCAGGCAACCUAGCUUUGGAGUCUGUGCUCCUGACUGCUACUUUAUAGUGUGGCUAUUAAAAAUAUUUUUUUUUGUUUACAGUAACAUGUAAGGUGUCCUUUGGUGACUAUAAAAUAGUUCAGUUGAGAAUGUCUGUACUCACACAUUGGAAUAAUAACUGGAUACAGCUAGUAUAAGCAUACUUUCGUGCAAGAGAUAUGAUACAGUGGGCCUUUGAUAUUUAUCUACAAUUCAUUUUUUAAAAAAUUGGUAAAAACCUUUAUGUAGAAACAGCUAAAUCUGUUCAGUUCAGUUCUGGAUUGUGUUACUAUUACUUUUACCUUUUUAGUGGGUUUCAUGUAUGUUUAAAAGUAAGGAAUACCAGGUGUGCUAUCUAAGCUCCACCACUAAAUUAUAAAACCUACAAAGCAAAAUUGUACUUAGAAUUGUUUGUACAAUGGGGAUUAUAGUAAAAUGUGCUAAAAAAUCAGUAACGUGGGGGUAUCUCUCAUCUUUGCAGGGUCUUGUGAGGGUUAUAAGAUACCAUAGUCUCUUGACUUCAGGGCAUUCUACAGCCUAUUUCUUGAUGUAAUUUGGUGCCUAAUGUAGUGUCUGUUUCAUCACAGAAGUGUAAAGGACAUCAGUUGAAUGUGAAUGAAAGCGCCUGGCACAUACUAAAUUUCACUGGCUCUGAGAGCAAUUUUUUGUAUUUUAACUUCGGGAUAUGUCUCACAGUCAAUAGAAUGUUACAAUAGAUGUCAGCCAAAUGGCUGUUGAGAUGUAGUUGUCAUUGCUCAUAAAGCUGUGGACUUGGUCUUUAUUCCAAGGUCUUUCAAGGAAUGCAUGUAAAUGCAGGUUUGUGUUUGAAAACUUUCCAUUGAUACCUCUUGGUAAAGGUAGUUUCAGCACCAAGACUUGCAGGAUGGGUGUCAGUGGUUCCAAAUAAUACCUUCAGAGACGGUAGUGCAGCACUCUUUCAAGAAAUGCUAUAUUAUCACUGCAUUUGAUGGCACAGAGUGUGAUAUCAUAUGGGAAAAGAAAAAAUAGACAUUACCCAGUCUGAGUCAAAAAGAGAUUUAGCAGAGUUUAACACAGAUUUAAAGCAUUUUAAUUAAUACCGUAGAUAAUUUAUUUUACAUAUAUAUUACUUUUUGUGCACAAGAAUGGUACAUAAAAGUAUUUAGAUGAGUCUACAAAGCUCGUUAAAAUAAAAUGAUGAAUGGUUAGUGUAUUAGUUUGCUUUCACACUGCUAUA